rnacentral:rRNA from 1 species
GACGAACCGUGCGAACGUUGUUCGGAAUUACUGGGCGUAAAGGGCUUGUAGGUGGCCAACUAAGUCACACGUGAAAUCCCCAGGCUUAACCUGGGAACUGCGUGUGAUACUGGAUGGCUUGAAUCCGGGAGAGGGAUGCGGAAUUCCCGGUGUAGCGGUGGAAUGCGUAGAGAUCGGGAAGAAUACCCGUGGCGAAGGCGGCCAGCUGGGCCAGGUCCGACACUGAGGCGCGAAAGCGUGGGGAGCAAACAGG